AGGUCAAGAGGCUGGCUCGCCAGAAACCCCCCUUCAGCCCCUUCUAUCCGAAGACGCGACUCUCAGACCACCCAGGGUCCAGGGGGCAAAGUAGGGCGCGGCUGCCAACCCUUCAGACCCCCGUCGCAGGAGACAAGAGGAGGGAGCAAGUCUUCCCGGAUGAGUGCCUACAGAACCCCCCAAAUCUGCAAGGUUCCUCCUUGCAGCCCGUGUCACCAGCCCAACUCCGCGUACCCCUUCCGAUUCCUGAAGGGGGGGGAGACCAAAAAGCGAUCUUGCUCCCUCAUUGGGUGCUUCAGCUCUUCUGACAGGUCCCGGAGGCGGCCCCCCAUUUAAAAACUGGGGUCACUCACUUUCUGUUGAUCCUACAAAUAAACAAAGCCGGGCGCACCCCGCGCUCCCCGCCGGAAAGCAGCCCAUUACGGGCGAGGACAACUUCCCCCAGCAAGAAAAUUAACACAUUCUUCUCGCGGCGGUUCGGCCCCCCGCUCUGGGGAAGAAGAGAGGAGGGGGCUCGGGGCCAAACUUCACGGGUAAAUUUGGGGCCAGAGCAACGAAGCAGGCGCCUGGGACACCCGCCUCCCACAGCUCCGCAGCUAGAGGAACACCCCCAUUCUCCCUCCCUGGCUUUGCAUGCUGCUUGGCCACGCGGGGCUCAGGAGACAGCCUGAAAGACUCCCUAAGGCUAGGGAGGAAGGGAGAAAGAGGCCGCGGAGAGCAGUGGUGGUCGGGGGUGAUACUUUGACGGAAAAAAAAAAAAAAGGUCAAACUUGGUCAGCCCGCCAGGCACCCCGCGGGCAGCGGGGGCGAGGAGCCUCAGGGGAAAUGUAGAAGUGGCCACCGCCCCCUCCAAGUGGAGGGGGAGACUCAGCCACGCGUCGUCCUGGGCGUUAGAGCAGUAAUGCCCCCAAAACACAGGGCUGCGAAUGGGGUCUGUUGGGGGGAGUGCGCGCCGGAGAUCUCCAAUCAGCCGCCCCCGCAGGCGGAGCGCCCGCCCAACACCGAGAGUGAUCUGCGACCGAGCUGACUGCGGCUUGGGGAGGCUUGAGUAUAGAAGAGGCCAUCGAGCGAUCACCGCAGCUAGGGAUCCCAGCCUCCGGGGCUCCGAGGCUCAGACUACGGGCGCCCCCCGCCACACCCAAACACGGACCCCUCUUUUCCCGUCCCUGGCUCUCCGCACCUGAACUUCGGGGGAGCCCGCGCCGCCAAACUUUCAGCAGACUUGCAGCGAACUCCGGCCCCGGCCGCGCACCGGGCCCCGGGGGAGGAGAGGGAGGCCACAGGGAAUGACCCUCUCUUGGACACCCCCUCCCUUCCACAAAAGCUGAGAAGUGUCCUCCUUUAACUGUGUGUCAACGAAUGGCUCCCUAGCCUGUCCAGCAAGCUUCCUCAAAGCCACACCAAACGUACCAUGUGAGUAAAGCAAGGUACUUGCUCUGAGAACACGGUUUUAAGACAAACGAACACCUCCAGAUUAUCACCCCUAAACUGCUUAAAUUAAAGAUAGACAUUCUGGGCCCCACCCUGACUGUCAGGUACAGUAUGGUGUUAGGCACUGACCAUACAAGGCAAAAAGAAGCAGGGUGCCAGGCCUAGAUGCUCAAGGAUCUGCAAACACUUAGCCCACCACUGUCUACCUUUUCUGGGGAAGCUGAGGCCCAAACUGUGAGGUGGGACCUGUUGCCCAGGAGUCAGCAGCAGGCCUCAGAGGAUUAGGACCCAAGAAAUGAAACUCAGUCCUCAGGGCUUCUGAAGCCUAGGGUGAGUGCAGAAUCAGGCCCUGCAUACCUGAAAAAAGCUUCAUGCUGAAAUCCAUGGGGGGUGGGGGUGAUAGUAGCUCCACCUUAGGGAAUUACUAUUAAUUACCCACUUUUUUCCCCAAGACCUCUGUCCCCUCCCCAUCUCAGGAGGGCAAAGCCCAGGGGGCUGCAGGCUGCAAUGGAGAUGAGUCAGGUGAUACCAAUGGUGACUUUCUCAGGGAACAGGUGUUGGCAUAUGCCUGGCCUAGUUUAGAGAGUGGAUCUUGGAGUCUUCCCCUUUUCCUGGAAAUUAAGAAGUGGAGGGAGACCCAGAUCCUCACUUAUCCACCUCGGGUAGGAACCAGAGAGGAGAGUGGCAGAACUGUCCACGUGGAAAAUGCAACAUGAACAGGAAAUACCACGUGCAAACCAUCCACAUAGAACUCUCUACCAUAACAAGUAAGACAAGGGGGAGACACCCAGGAAGGAUUGGGCGGGAGGUCUCUGGCCUUGGGAGAGACUAUCCCCACCCCAGGCCCCUUCCACAAGAAGAAGUAAAGGGAUCCUGGUUCACAAUCCCUCCGAAAAGGAGUAUUGGAGUUUCAUAUUGCUAUUCAAUCAAUCAGCUUAGAGUCAGGAAGCAAAUUCCAUAAGUCUCCAGUACCUGUCGGGGAGAGAAGGGCCCUGCACCCACCUGCCCUGUCUUCCGGGUAGGAAUGUGUCAGUCCAGUACCCUGGAUCCUGCUCUCCUGGUCCUGGUUAUAAUAUCCAUAGCUGGCAUUUACAAAGCCCUUACCCUGAGCAGGGCAUUAAGCUAAAUAGUUAAGGUAACUUAUCUCAUUUAAUCUUUACAUCAGCCCCAGUAGUAGUAUUGUCCCCAUUUUUCAGAUGAGGAAACUGACAUGAGACUGGCACCAAAGUUGUUUUCCUAACCUCAGAGAUUUGCUAUCCUAGUGAGGCUUCUCACACACAGAUCUGCCUGGGGUUCACCUGUUCCUCAUCCUGUAGUGACUAAUCAGAGCCCAUAGGGCUCAGCUCAAGCCCCUUCCCCAACUUGGCCUGGCUUCCCUAACUGGUCUGUUCUUCCCUGCAAUCCCUGAGCCCUGCUGACCAACACCACUCAACACUGGUGGUUCCCUCAGACACCCCAAAACUUCCCUUCAAGUAUCUGUGGCUUUGCAUGCACUGUUCCCUCUGCCCAGAAGGGCCUUAAUCACGCUCACCUCCUGAAGUCCUCACUGAAGCCCAAGAGCAUGUAUCACUCCACUGGGAACCUUCUUUGACUUCUACUCCCCACCUCAGUUUGGCUUCUAUCUACAGAGCCAGCACUAACCUUUGUGCAAAUUAGAAAAAGCUACCACUUUUUGGCAGAUAUAGGUACCCCCAUGUGGCAGCAGGUCAUAAACUGUCUUCCAGUCUUCCUAGACCCCUUGGCCAGGUGUCUUUUUUGCUGUGCAUGCACUGAACAGUUGUACUCUGCGGCCUGGCUUUGGGGGCCCUCAUCUGUCCCCUCCUAUGGCCACAGUGACCACACUGCACAGAAAUAGCUUUUAUUUGCUCAUUGUCUCCCUGUCCCCUCACUACUACCACCCACGAAAAUUUGUUGAGGGUAAGGGAGAGUCUCCUACCUGCUUUGGGCCUGAAGCCUGGCACUAAGUACGUACCAGUAGUAAGGAUUGUAGCCAACAGUUUUCUGAGCACUUACUAUGUGUCUGGCACCACACUAAUUGCUUUCUGUGAAUAUGCUUAUUUAAUCCUGGUAUUCAAGACAACUGCUUAAUGUUACAAAGUAGAAAAACCAAGAUUUAAACCCAUGCCUUGUGUGGGGGAUCUACCUUUUCCAUGACUACCAUCUAUCAGCUAAUGUCAGUCAUUGAUUAAACAUCCAGUGACUGGGAAUGGCUGCAUGGAGAGGAGUGUGGAAGUUAGUCUCCAAUAAAGAUGGCCAACCCAGAGCUUGGCCUAUGCCUCUCCUGAGGCCCCAGUUC